UACGAAGGGGGCUAGCGUUGUUCGGAAUCACUGGGCGUAAAGCGCACGCAGGCGGAUUGAUAAGUCAGGGGUGAAAUCCCGGAGCUCAACUUCGGAAUUGCCUUUGAUACUGUCUGUCUUGAGUCCGGGAGAGGUGAGUGGAAUUCCUAGUGUAGAGGUGAAAUUCGUAGAUAUUCGGCGGAACACCAGUGGCGAAGGCGACUCACUGGCCCGAUACUGACGCUGAGGCGCGAAAGCGUGGGGAGCAAACAGG
rnacentral:rRNA from 1 species